UGUCCUGGGAAAGUCUUUAGAAAACCAUGUCAGCAAGCUCAGAGGCUGAGUUUUCAGGGUGACACCCAGGUUCCUGUUCAGUAGGAUAAGUGGAGGUGAAGGAGCUGUGCCCGGCUGGUGGCCUUGGCAGAUGAGCACACCUUUAGAACAGCAGUCCUUGCCCAAGAGUGGCUCGUCCCAGCUGCCCACUGCUUUCAUUCCAGGGAAGGAAGCAUACAGAGACUGAUGGAUGGUGGUAACAGGACUUCAUGAUCUUGCAGAGCAAGACAGAUCUCCAUGUUUUCAUUGUGUGACUGUCAAAAGAAGAGUUCUGAUGGAUCCCAUUGUAAAACACUCCCAAAGCACAAAUGCCAUUGAAAACAAAAUUUGGUGGGAGUGUGUUUUUGACUGAUGAAGAUUCAGAGUAGCUGAUAUUUACCCUGAGGAAUUUACUGCUGAUUUACCUGAACUGAUUCUUUGGCUUUACAGCUGUGUUGGAGCAGUCACAAGUUACCUGCAGGCUCCUGAUGCUCUGUUAAUCCAUUUUAGAAGGGAAAAGAGGGAAAAGAAGCCACAUGAGCCAAGCAUGUCCGUGAAUGUAAUGCUGGAGAGUAUAAAAAUACUGCAGGAUAUUUUUAAUCCAGUUUCUGGUUUUACAAAUCGUGUGGUGUUUGAACAAAAGUGUUUGAAAAGACAAGUGUUACAGGCCAAGGGACCAUGCAAGAAUGGAUAGCUAUCCUAAUUAAUCCAUGCAUUAACUUGUAACUAGCAGUUUGUUUAAUGUCCAAAAAGCUGCUUAUACAGAAAUCUGUGGUGACAGGCACCAGUUAGCUUUGCAGACUCUUCCUGCUCUCAGCUUGAGAGUUUAAAACAGGAUUAGCAGGAUAGUACAACAGGUAGCACAAGAAUAAUCCUCCUUUGACUCAAUGGUGCAGAUAAUAACCAGAAGGUAAGGUAUCUCACUUAGUUUUUGUUGAUAUGAAUGGCAAAAAUAUUUAGAGAGUUUUUUCCCAUACAAGCAUUUGGUGCCAGUAACCCUCCUUUUUUAUUAUAUUAGUUUUGAACUUUG